rnacentral:rRNA from 1 species
CCUACGGGGGGCAGCAGUGAGGAAUAUUGGUCAAUGGCCGGAAGGCUGAACCAGCCAUGCCGCGUGAAGGUCAGUGCCCUAUGGGCGUUAAACUUCUUUUGUGCGGGAGAAAUAAUGGUCACGUGUGGCCAGACGAGAGUACCGUACGAAUAAGCAUCGGCUAAUUCCGUGCCAGCAGCCGCGGUAAUACGAGGGAUGCAAGGGUUAUCCGGUUUUAUUGGGUUAAAAGGGUGCGUAGGGGGACUGUUAAGUCAGCGGGAAAGGCCCGGGGCUCAACCCCGGCGAGCCGUUGAAACUGGCUGUCUUGAGAGGUGGAGAGGUAUGCGGAAUUCGUAGUGUAGCGGUGAAAUGCUUAGAUAUUGCGAAGAACUCCGAUUGCGAAGGCAGCAUACCGGCGGCGAUCUGACGCUGAGGCACGAAAGCGUGGGUAUCGAACAGGAUUAGAUACCCGUGUAGUC